rnacentral:rRNA from 1 species
CUCGUCAGUGCACUUCCUCAGGGUGUUCACCACGACCGGCGCUGCUGUCUGUCUGUUGCGGUCAAACCGGUUAGGCUUAGUCAUUUUGGCUAGGUCUGGUCGGGAUGGCAGGUGGCUCUUGAGUUCUUCUGGCUUCGGCUGGUUUGAGCUUUUGAGUGUAAUUAGCCGACUGUGACGGAUCUGUGCAGUGCGUCGGGGCUGGCGGCUUUGGUGUGUGUACGCGUGCUGUAGCUUACUGGCUUA